rnacentral:rRNA from 1 species
GAUGAACGCUGGCGGCGUGCCUAAUACAUGCAAGUCGAGCGAACGGACGAGAAGCUUGCUUCUCUGAUGUUAGCGGCGGACGGGUGAGUAACACGUGGAUAACCUACCUAUAAGACUGGGAUAACUUCGGGAAACCGGAGCUAAUACCGGAUAAUAUUUUGAACCGCAUGGUUCAAAAGUGAAAGACGGUCUUGCUGUCACUUAUAGAUGGAUCCGCGCUGCAUUAGCUAGUUGGUAAGGUAACGGCUUACCAAGGCAACGAUGCAUAGCCGACCUGAGAGGGUGAUCGGCCACACUGGAACUGAGACACGGUCCAGACUCCUACGGGAGGCAGCAGUAGGGAAUCUUCCGCAAUGGGCGAAAGCCUGACGGAGCAACGCCGCGUGAGUGAUGAAGGUCUUCGGAUCGUAAAACUCUGUUAUUAGGGAAGAACAUAUGUGUAAGUAACUGUGCACAUCUUGACGGUACCUAAUCAGAAAGCCACGGCUAACUACGUGCCAGCAGCCGCGGUAAUACGUAGGUGGCAAGCGUUAUCCGGAAUUAUUGGGCGUAAAGCGCGCGUAGCGGUUUUUCAAGUCUGAUGUGAAAGCCCACGGCUCAACCGUGGAGGGUCAUUGGAAACUGGAAAACUUGAGUGCAGAAGAGGAAAGUGGAAUUCCAUGUGUAGCGGUGAAAUGCGCAGAGAUAUGGAGGAACACCAGUGGCGAAGGCGACUUUCUGGUCUGUAACUGACGCUGAUGUGCGAAAGCGUGGGGAUCAAACAGGAUUAGAUACCCUGGUAGUCCACGCCGUAAACGAUGAGUGCUAAGUGUUAGGGGGUUUCCGCCCCUUAGUGCUGCAGCUAACGCAUUAAGCACUCCGCCUGGGGAGUACGACCGCAAGGUUGAAACUCAAAGGAAUUGACGGGGACCCGCACAAGCGGUGGAGCAUGUGGUUUAAUUCGAAGCAACGCGAAGAACCUUACCAAAUCUUGACAUCCUUUGACAACUCUAGAGAUAGAGCCUUCCCCUUCGGGGGACAAAGUGACAGGUGGUGCAUGGUUGUCGUCAGCUCGUGUCGUGAGAUGUUGGGUUAAGUCCCGCAACGAGCGCAACCCUUAAGCUUAGUUGCCAUCAUUAAGUUGGGCACUCUAAGUUGACUGCCGGUGACAAACCGGAGGAAGGUGGGGAUGACGUCAAAUCAUCAUGCCCCUUAUGAUUUGGGCUACACACGUGCUACAAUGGACAAUACAAAGGGCAGCGAAACCGCGAGGUCAAGCAAAUCCCAUAAAGUUGUUCUCAGUUCGGAUUGUAGUCUGCAACUCGACUACAUGAAGCUGGAAUCGCUAGUAAUCGUAGAUCGGCAUGCUACGGUGAAUACGUUCCCGGGUCU